AUAACAGGCCAGAAGAAACGAAAGCAACAGUACAAAGAAAGCUAGGUCUUCAUAGAGUCCUCUCAUCUCAGUUUUCCAGGCCCUCAAGCCAAAACCUGGGAAUCAAUUUUGUUGGUUUGGGAUAACAGAGUUAUCGGUGCCAAGUUCUAUGGGUGCUGGAACUAGAACGCUACUGGGUCACAACUGCACACCGUCCCUUCUGGGUUUGGACAACUUGUGAGUUAAAAGUAGGAAACAAGUAGAAUUUAUAUGUAAUUUUGCUUUGUUUCCAGACAGGGUUUCUCUAAAUCCUCUUGACUGUCUUGGAACUGACUCUGUAGACCAUACUGGUUUCAAACGCCCAGAGAGCCACUUGCCUCUGGCUUCUAAAUGCUGAGAUUACAGGUGUUGGCCACCAAACAGACCCAGCACACAUUUUUGUUUGCUUGUUUUUAUUUUACAUUUUUGUUAUACAAUAUAUUCUUAACAUGCUUUCCAUCUCUACCCCCUUGUGAGGUUCAAAGGAAACUCUAAACUACAAAAGAUAGCCCAAAUAUCCAGAUAUAAGCUCAAAGUGGAGUAGAGUAUUUCUAGCUGUGAGAUAAAAGCCCGCAUUGCUCAGGAAAUUGUGAGACCAAUUCCCUUACCUCUGGUAGAAGGGACAUAAGCCUACUCAGGCUUAUGUGAAGGUAUCAAAACACAUGCUGGCUUUCCUGAAAGAUAGCCUUGACCACAUCCAGUCUCCUGUCUAUGUUCUAAGUCUACUUCUUUCCCUCUGUACUCUCGACUAUUUCAGAUGUCUCUGGCUCUUCUCUUUUUGUUUUUUGUUUUUUUAAAGAUUUAUU